GGUCGGGCCUUGCACGAAAAGACUUUGUGAACCCCGUCAGGUCCGGAAGGAAGCAGCGGCAGCAGAGUUCUUUUGCGUUGUAAAUCAGUCCGAUUCAG
rnacentral:SRP_RNA from 2 species